UCUGCAUGUUCAAGUCAUUUUUUGAGCAAUAAAACAAGCAAUUGAAGUAAUGCUAGAAGUUUUAAGUCAUACUGUGGAACAUCCAACCAUGGAGAGAAAGCAUAUGACAAACCGCCCAUUAAGAAAGUUACAUAGUGCACCUUUAAAUGAUUACUUUUUUCACAAACUAUUACAGUUUUCUUCAUACACGUUUAGCUUAGAUUAUUUAUGGAUACGUUUGUUUUAUUUUUCGCUUCCUACACAGUUGGUAGUUUUUAUAUCAGACAAAGUCAUAUCAUUUCUCCUUUUCUCCCACUUCAGUCCAGCGUGUCCACUUGGUUUGGCAGGAGCAGAGGUAGCUCGAUGCCAGCGUGUGCAGCGUCCAGUAGGUUGACAGCAUCAGUGGCAGUAGCUGGAGGGUGCAUGGGAUCUGAGGGCAGAGGAGAGGGCGGGCUGCUGACCAUGUUGGGCUCCCCGGAGUUCCGGAGAGAGAGAGACAAUGCGGGUGACGGUCUCCGGGGCGAGCGAGAUGAGCAGCAAGCCUCCACUAACCUGGGCCAUGUUGGUGAUGAAGAAAGGGAGCCACGUGCUAAAGAAGAGCCCCAGGAGCACCCCCAGUGUGAGGCUGGCCUUGAGUGCCCUCCGACCCUGACGAUGAGCUAGGCGCCGCUCACUGGUGACUGAGUGCUGUAGGGCCAACAUGAUGUCCAAGGCUCGUGAUGACUACAAUCAUCUCCAUCUGGGUUUCCAGCCAUGGCCCCAGGUGAAGGUGGUCUUGAGGGCUCCCCCAGAGAGGCAUGUGGGUGGGGUGGGUGGCUCAGAGCGGCCACUCUCUUUGCCUGCCUUCUUGCUGCCAGAAGUAUCCGACAGUAUGUGAAGCAAAUGGCACUUGAUGGCAAAAAGAAGGUGAGUACUGAAGCCACCAGGGCAAAAGGUAGGGUCACUCUCAAGCGACAUUGAAACGACAGUCCCCCUGGUGACAGCUGAAAGUAGGACUCUGGGUAAGGGUUGUCAGAGUAGCUCAAAUUGCUUUGUGAGGGUCCGCUCCAGUGACCCAAACUGUGCCAUUUUAGUUCAAUAGGAAGGAAAGAUGCUAAAGCGGCUAACCCCCAAGCUGCUGCCACUAAGAGUAAUGCCCGAGGUGGGGUCAUCCUUUGCUUGUAACGCAAUGGAGAAAUAAUGAAGAUGUAUCUGUCCAGACUUAUUACACAUAAGUUCAAAAUGGAUGCACUACAGCACAUGACAUCAAAACAAAGCCAAAUGGGGCAAAAAGCAGGCCACAGGACCCAUGCUCCACACAGUACAUUUAACAUGGCUGGGGGCAUCACUACUAGUGCCACCAUGAGGUCAGAAAAAAACAGAGAUACUAAGAAACAGUUGGAGGUGCAGCGCAAAGAGCGGUGCGCAAAUACUAAAGCGAUGAGUAGCAUGUUUCCACAAGCAGUCAUCAGAAUAAUAAUGGUUAACAUGAAUGCCAACAACCAUGGACCACUACCAGUGAUGUCCCAAGCACUCACUGAGGAGGCUGUGCUGCUCAAGUUUCCUGCAGAGGCUGGUAAAUAAGAAUCUGCCAUGGUCU